rnacentral:rRNA from 1 species
AUUAAAACACCGGUUCUUGUAUGAUCACCAAAGUUAAGCAACAUCAAGCCUGGUCAGUACCUAUAUAGGUGACUGCUUGGAAAUACCAGGUGCUGUAAU